GCGGCCAGGCACGUGGGUCUUUCUGCAGUACAAGUCGGGUGCCAGCAGCUCCAGCGUCAGCUCGGUGAUGAUGGCUGUCAGCCCCCAGAUGCGGUGGGGGCCGUUGAGGAAGACGGGCAGAGUGUAUCCGUAGCGACCGGCAGUACGGAAAUGGGUAUAGCCCUGGUUCUCUUCCCGCAGGAGGUGCUCCAGAGGCAGCGUGAAGACCUCUGCCACCUCGUCAGGGUUUGGGGACAGCGUCAGGUCCUCCAGGGGUCCCAGGUUGGCCACCACGGGGACCACCAGCAUCCCGUGCCUCUCGGGCAGCCCUCGCAGCCGCCCCCAGACGCUCUCCUCCCGCAGCUUCAGCCCCAACUCCUCCCGCGCCUCUCGCAGCGCGGUGCCCUCCGCUCCGCCGUCCGCCGCCUCCCGUUUCCCCCCGGGGAAGCUGCAACGGGGGGGGGCGGCGCUGCGG
rnacentral:lncRNA from 1 species